CACUUAAACGAAGAUUAUCUUUUUGAUGGCUAAAACAAUGUGAAAAACAUUUCAUCAGCUCUGAAAGUU
ensembl:snoRNA